rnacentral:rRNA from 1 species
UGGGGAAUAUUGCACAAUGGAGGGAACUCUGAUGCAGCGACGCCGCGUGAGUGAUGAAGGUUUUCGGAUCGUAAACCUCUGUCAGAAGGGAAGAAACCGCACUGUGCUAAUCAGCAGUGCCUUGACGGUACCUUCAAAGGAAGCACCGGCUAACUCCGUGCCAGCAGCCGCGGUAAUACGGAGGGUGCAAGCGUUAAUCGGAAUUACUGGGCGUAAAGCGCACGUAGGCUGCUUUGUAAGUCAGGGGUGAAAUCCCACGGCUCAACCGUGGAACUGCCUUUGAUACUGCUUAGCUUGAAUCCGGGAGAGGGUGGCGGAAUUCCAGGUGUAGGAGUGAAAUCCGUAGAUAUCUGGAGGAACAUCAGUGGCGAAGGCGGCCACCUGGACCGGUAUUGACGCUGAGGUGCGAAAGCGUGGGGAGCAAACAGG